rnacentral:rRNA from 1 species
ACGGGAGGCAGCAGUGGGGAAUAUUGCACAAUGGGGGAAACCCUGAUGCAGCGACGCCGCGUGAGUGAAGAAGUAUUUCGGUAUGUAAAGCUCUAUCAGCAGGAAAGAAAAUGACGGUACCUGACUAAGAAGCCCCGGCUAACUACGUGCCAGCAGCCGCGGUAAUACGUAGGGGGCAAGCGUUAUCCGGAUUUACUGGGUGUAAAGGGAGCGUAGACGGUAAGGCAAGUCUGAAGUGAAAUGCCAGGGCUCAACCCUGGAACUGCUUUGGAAACUGUCCUACUAGAGUGCAGGAGAGGUAAGUGGAAUUCCUAGUGUAGCGGUGAAAUGCGUAGAUAUUAGGAGGAACACCAGUGGCGAAGGCGGCUUACUGGACCGUAACUGACGUUGAGGCUCGAAAGCGUGGGGAGCAAACAGGAUUAGAUACCCUGGUA